CCUACGGGUGGCAGCAGUGAGGAAUAUUGGUCAAUGGCCGAGAGGCUGAACCAGCCAAGUCGCGUGAGGGAAGACGGCCCUACGGGUUGUAAACCUCUUUUGUCGGGGAGCAAAGCGAGUCACGUGUGACUCAUUGAGAGUAUCCGAAGAAAAAGCAUCGACUAACUCCGUGCCAGCAGCCGCGGUAAUACGGAGGAUGCGAGCGUUAUCCGGAUUUAUUGGGUUUAAAGGGUGCGCAGGCGGAGGUGCAAGUCAGCGGUAAAAUUGCGGGGCUCAACCCCGUACUGCCGUUGAAACUGCAUCCCUUGAGUGCGCGAGAAGUAUGCGGAAUGCGUGGUGUAGCGGUGAAAUGCAUAGAUAUCGCGCAGAACUCCGAUUGCGAAGGCAGCAUACCGGCGCGCAACUGACGCUCAGGCACGAAAGCGUGGGGAUCGAACAGGAUUAGAUACCCGAGUAGUC
rnacentral:rRNA from 1 species